rnacentral:tRNA from 1 species
GCCUGGGUGGCUCAGUCGGUUGAGCGUCCGACUUCAGCUUGGGUCAUGAUCUCACAGUCUGUGAGUUCGAGCCCCACGUCGGGCU